AUAUAGAUCGAUAUAGGUAUAUAUUUCAAAAAAUCAUAAGGUUUAAACUUUGUCACUGUUUUUAGGAGAGUCUACAUUUUGUUUAAGUAUUGAUAGGACUUUGAUACCCUUUUAUUCGGAAAAUGUGAACAUGAAUACAACCCACGGACAAAUGGACCUUGCUGGUAUACUCUUGUGCCGCCUCAUUCCCAAAAUGAGCUCAGUGCACUUGUUGUUUCGGGUCAAGGAAAUGGCACCGGUUGUUUAUACUCUGUUAUAGCACUAGACAAUAAUCCUUCUGGUAUCCCGUCAACUUGUGGAUAUUGCUGGUAUGAUGAUAUUGUGGUCCUUCAUCCACAAAAUAUCCGCAGUGAACUAGUCAUCUCGGGUAUGUUGAUAACAUAUAUCUCUUGAAAUGUAUCAUCAAUUUAGAUGUGAUAUUAAUGUUAAUUUGAUGAAAAGCUAGUAAAAUCUUUCGUAUAUAAAUGUACUUUUUUAAAA